UAUGAUGUUCAGUAGAUACAAACGGGGCUAUCAGUUCUUUGUAAAUAUGUGUCAUGCGAGACGAACUAUAUGUAGAGAUAAGUUGAUUCUACAAAUGGUUCAUAUAGCGAGGUGUAUGAAGAGUAGACAGUUCUAUAUGUCACUUGAUUAAUUCUACUUCUGUUACAUUGGUGCACAGUAUGAAUAAAUGAUUCCGACAUUCA